GCCCGGCUAGCUCAGUCGGUAGAGCAUGAGACUCUUAAUCUCAGGGUUCGAGCCCCACGUUGGGCG
rnacentral:tRNA from 1 species